CCUACGGGUGGCAGCAGUGGGGAAUUUUGCGCAAUGGGCGAAAGCCUGACGCAGCGACGCCGCGUGUGCGAUGAAGGCCUUUGGGUCGUAAAGCACUGUCAACCGGGACGAAAUCCGAGUCGCCAAUACCGGCUUGGUUUGACGGUACCGGUGGAGGAAGCACCGGCUAACUCUGUGCCAGCAGCCGCGGUAAUACAGAGGGUGCAAACGUUGCUCGGAAUUACUGGGCGUAAAGCGCGUGUAGGCGGCCUACUAAGUCGUCUGUGAAAUCCCAUGGCUCAACCAUGGAAGUGCAGUCGAUACUGGAAGGCUGGAGUGUCGGAGAGGGUGGUGGAAUUCCCAGUGUAGAGGUGAAAUUCGUAGAUAUUGGGAGGAACACCGGUGGCGAAGGCGGCCACCUGGCCGAUAACUGACGCUGAGACGCGAAAGCGUGGGUAGCAAACAGGAUUAGAUACCCUUGUAGUC
rnacentral:rRNA from 1 species